GAAAACCCCAACAAACAAGCCAGCCCUUCAUGUUACAGACUAGAAUGUCAAGGAGCCUGUAGGCGAAGCACCUGUCCUGGAAAUUACAUUAGAGCUGACCCUGUGGCCAGAUGAAGAUGAACCCUCACUGAGGACAUGAGAGCAGGACAACAGGAUAUCCAAGAGGAACCCCAGUGACAGCCCAUUAUCGGUCUUGUAACAGAAACCAGAGGCCUUGAGCCAGAUCAAUGACUCAUAGAAAGUAAAGAUGAAUGGACUAAAGGGUCUGGGCACUGGAGGCAGCGCUGCCGUAGAUAAGAUGCAGCACAUCUAGAGGCAUCAAUAACCGAGGAAAAGAGUAAUAAAUUAUGCUGAAAGACGGGUAAUCGGUUGUCAUGCUUCAGGCAGGGGCAGGAGACCAACCAAUCUCAAAGAGCAGCAAGCAGCCGAUGUUUGUGUUUGUCUUUUCUUGCCUGUCUUUUGUCAGAAAUCUGGGACACAAACAGAAUUCUUAUUGGGAGAUAUUAACUCUGUGAGAAUCACAAACCAAUGUUGGCAUGCUGACAACAAAGCUCCUUGCAAUAAAGCUUGAGAUAAUUCA